rnacentral:lncRNA from 1 species
AAGAUGAAUAUGAGAGCAGAGAUUAACCAAAAGUUGACAGAAACCGGAGUAAGAGAACGCCUGAAAGAGCUGCUGAGCUAAAUUAAUUGAAUGUGGCUGAAAGGAUGAGUUGAUAAAGAUAAUGUAAAGAUAAUGAUUUUAAGUGAUAUGUUUUUUGCUUUUGCAUUAAGAGGUAAUUAAAGAGAAAGGACUAGAACACGUUAUUGUCGAUGACUUGGUGGCUGAAAUCACUCCAAAAGGCAGAGCCCUAGUACUUGACAGUUUAAAGAAGGAGCUCCUACAAAAAAAUAAAAACAUUCCUUGCUCAGCCUGUCAGUCUUUAAGAUUGACCUAGAUUGUGUUGUUCUGUGGUAUUAUUUUUGAAAGUAAUAUCUGCCAUAAAUUAGAAAACCAUUCCCAAAAUAAAAUCCCUUUUUGUAUGAUGAUAUAUGGUUUUCAGUAGUGAUGUCUAUGUUGUAUUGAUUUUUUCCCCCAAAUGUGUUAUUUUAAU